CGAGGGGUGGGGAAGAGCGGAGAUUGACAACUUCCGCGGGGUCCCGCCGGCCCUGAAAUACUUGGGAGGGAGUUGUGGGUGGGAAAGCAUGCCAGCUCCCUCAGCCAAUUGCAGGGCUCAGCGGCAGUAACGCGGUGAGGCGUGGCGUCCUGGAAGGUGUCUCAAGCAGAGGCAGUGGAAUGGGGCGUGGUUGUGUGACGGACUUUGCUCACAGCCAAUCGUAAGUGAAGACGGCGAGCGGAACGCCGCCUGCGUCACAACGGAGCAAUAAAUUUCCUUGGGUGGGGAAGUGCCCCUCCACCAGUGAGCACCUUUGCGCGCUUGCGUGACAGCUGCGGGCGAUCGUUGCUCUCCUGACAGCUUAAGAGAAGACCAGGAAACUACAGGAGGGUAGUUUAGAGAGUAAAAUAGAAUGCCCCUUCCCUUCCCCCUCCUCUCUGCUGGCCAAUGAGGAACUGAAGCGACUAGGGAGGAGUUUGAGGGCUGGGGCGGGAAACGGCGUACGGUGUUAAAUCACCAAAAGAGGGCGGGGCAAAGGGAGGGUAGGGUAAUUGACGGGCGAAGGAUCCCGGGAAAGGCGAGGGAGUAAUCUCGUCCAAUCGGAGCGAGGUACUGGACUCCUGGGCGGGCCUUGGAGCCUCUCUCGCCCUUAGCCGCAGAGUUGGUAGUUGCAGCAGAAAUGUGUAGCUGUGGAGUGGCUUUGGCACCGCAGUUCUGGAGAAUUAUUUUCGCGCCAGGCUUGGGCAAUCUAGCAUCUACUACUUCAAAGAUUUCUACAAAUCUGCACCCUCCAAGAGGAGGUUUCUCAUAUCAACUUAGUCUCCCACUAAUCCUCACGCCUUCUUCAGCCAAAGGCCUUCAACUACUACAACAGGACCGGUACAAAUUUGCUCAUCCGUGGUUUGUAGAUUUGGGGCUUGCCACUUAACUUUUACUGGGAUCGCUUCCUUGGAAAUUCCGUCUGAAUUUUAAACUUCUAAAGGACAAGGACGUUUUUAGAGCAGUGUUUUCCAUAUAAUGAUGCUUGAUAAAAGUGCUUGGAAAACAGCCAUGAAUGAGACAAAGUCUGCCUGCAUGGAGCUCACCAUCAGUGGAGAAAGCUCACAACAAGUAAAAUUUGACUAUGGAAACAAAGCAGGGAAUAUAUACCAGGGAAAACACUGAUGUGCACACAGAUGUCCACAGAGGUUUAGGUAACCAUAGGGUGACCAACUUAUCCUAGUUUGCUAGGGACUUUCCCAGUUCUAACACCGAAAGUCUCCUGUCCCAGGACCUCCCUACAUCCUGGGCAAACCUGGACAGUUGGACACCCUAUGAACCAAACAAGCAACGACACCUGUUUAUUUGGUCUAUUACAGUGGUUCUCAACCUUCUUAAUGCCACGACCCUUUAAUACAGCUCCUCAUGUUGUGGUGACCCCCAACCAUAAAAUUAUUUCUGUUGCUACUUCAUAACUGUAAUUUUGCUACUGUUAUGAAUCGUAAUGUAAAUAUCUGAUAGGCAGGAUGUAUUUUCAUUGUUACAGAUUGAACAUAAUUAAAGCAUAGUGAUUUAGCACAAAAACAAUAUGUAAUUAUAUAUGUGUUUUCCAAUGGUUUUAGGUGACCCCUGUGAAAGGGUCGUUCGACCCCCAAAGGGGUCGCGACCUACAGGUUGAGAACCGCUGGUCUAUUAUGAGCAAAGCCGAUGGCUAAAUGUUAUGGUGUCAACCUUAAGGGAGCAUGAGCUCUAGGGGAAAGAUGAGGUGCAUGUUCAGGGAAAGAUAACUUCUCAUUCAGGACAAUAUUUGAUGAGUGCCAAGACAAUAAAUUCCAAGGAGCCCACAGGUGGUGUUUGUGCCAAGGUGGAGGAGAUGAGAUUUACGCUUGAGUUGCAGGAUUGGGCAUAAAUGUAUAUGUAUAUGUAUAUGUAUAUGUAUAUGUAUAUGUAUAUGUAUAAUGCUAUGUAUGUGUGUGUGUGUUUCAUGGAAAUUAAAAACAUCAAAUUCAGUGGUCUUACUACUUCCUAGAAGGAAGGUAGAAGGGGAAUGUUGAGAGAAGAAUUGAGAGGGAUACACUGAGGGCUCUAACUAUAUCUGUAAUGCUUUAUGUAUGUAUAAUUUAGUUGGAUAUUUUAUUGGUGGGUGUUUAUUAUACCAUUUUCUACACAGUUUGUAUAUACUACAUGUAUUUUUAAAUUUUGGAGUGGAGAACGUAGGAUCUCUGUAUUUUAUAAAUGAUGAGACUGAGCUGAUACUUGGGCACUUAUAAAAGGGGAAACCCAGAUAUGGAGAGAAUCCUUCUCAACUUGCAUUUGAUCCAGCCAGCAGACACACUGCCAACCCUCAUGCAUUACAGUAGGGAUCCCCAAAAAGGAGCUGGAUAAUGGAAGAGAAAGAGCCUUAAGGACCACCCUCGAGGAUGCCCACGCACAAGAAAAGUGACACUGAAGUAACACCAGCAGAGAAAAAGCUAGAACAACAGAUGGGUUGCUAAAACAAAAAUGAGAGAAAUGCAAUCCUUUAGAUUCCUGGGGAGAAGGAAGUAAUAGCCUGUCAGUCACAGCAGGGAAGAAAGUUAGAAAGAUAAGACAAUUUGACUUGUCCAGAAAAAUAUAUUUAUGGGCUUUACCAAGAAAAAAUUUAGCAGUGCCAGAGGCAAUUGCAAUGAAGAAAAUUCCACUUCAAGAUAUGAAAAUUAACUGGAACUGGACUUGCCCUCUUACCGGUAAACAAGAAAUUGGGUAAAAUGUAUGAACUAUUUGUUUUCAUUGUACAACACAGUGCAGAAUGCAGUGAUCCCUCCAAUAUUCCUGGCUUUCUGCCUGGAGGCACUUUUCAGACCACAAGGAAGGUGGAUCCAAGUAGAUGCGACAAUCUAGCUGAAAUGAAGACCAAAAAAUCAGAGUUUGGGGAGGCUGAGAUGGCUGGAAUUUUUGAGACAGAGUAUCAAAGAAGAGGUACAUACACAUAGACAAAGCCCCAGAAAUCUUGAGUUCUUUGAAUAUUAAGCUGCACAGGAUGCAGCUGCAUGAGACUCAGCAAAGAGAAUUCCUUAGGUUUCUAUAAAUUAUAUAGGUUCCUGAGCUGGGUUGAGAAACAUUCAAGUUCCACCAGGUAGGAUGGAGAGAUCUUGGUGAACCGGUGUGGCAUUCAGAGUUAUUGUGGCUAAGCAGUAGGUCUAAGCUUGUCCUGAAAUUAGAAUUAAAUGACCAACAAACAUUUUUAGAACAAUUUUUAGCCGGAUCUGAGCUUAUAACUUUGGUAUUUAUAAGAUGACUUGGAUUCUUGGGCAAAGAAGAAAACCAUCUUAAGUUGGAGAGAUAAUAAAAUAAAUGAUAAUUUCCAUUAUAAAAUUUUUGUUUGAAAAGUAUAAGAAAAAAAUGAAAAAGGAUAUUUUACAAAUAAUAAAAGCUCUUCAAUUAAGCCACUAAAUAAUUGCCCAUUGAAUACAAAAUCUUUCUAACUAUAUCAAAGUUCAAUGGAUUUAACUUUUGAAAAAUUGCAAGGGCUUUCCUUCAGCUUUAGAAGAAGUCAUGCCCAAUCAACACUUUGGAUGUGUUUGUCUCAAGAUACUUUCAAAUUUAUGGAAAAAGUCAUUGGUAUAGACCAGUGAUGGUGAACCUUUUGAGCUCAGCGUGUCAGCAUUUUGAAAAACCCUAACUUAACUCUGGUGCCGUGUCACAUAUAGAAUUUUUUUGAUAUUUGCAACCAUAGUAAAACAAAGACUUAUAUUUUUGAUAUUUAUUUUAUAUAUUUAAAUGCCAUUUAACAAAGAAAAAUCAACCAAAAAAAUGAGUUCGUGUGUCACCUCUGACACGUGUGUCAUAGGUUCACCAUCACUGGUAUAGACACUGUAGAGAUUUUACAUCUGUCAAAGAAAAAAUUCAGCUAGAUAUGAAAACGUCGUUUUGAUCCCAAUGAAGGGUUCUCCAACUAUGUUGUUGAAAGUCUGAAUUUAUCGAGAUUUUAAAGCAAGAAACAGAUCUUUUUUCUAUUGUUUCAUUCCUCUUAUAUGAUACAUAUUGGAAAUAUUUGUGUUCAGUUUUUGAAGUGUUAUGGAUAUAGUUGUUAAAAAUUAUUCCAUAUAUGUGCAAAUGCUAUGAAUCAUCAGCUUGUUGCAGUGUAGAAAGAAAUAACAAGAAAAUCAGUGUGAUGAUCUUGUUCUUUUCCAAUGCGCAUUGGUUGAGUAAUGGAGGACCUUUACAAAGAUUUCUUGUACUGUUAACUCUAAUUCAAGAUUUUUUGAAAUGAAGGGAAUACCUGCCAAAUAUUCAACAAUCAAAGACAAAAAGACAGUAGUGUGAUUUAUGUUUUCUCACUGAUAUCAUACUGCAUAGUAAUGAGUUAAAUCUGAAGUUCUAAGAAAGAAAAAAUAUAUUUGUGAUCUAGCUAGGAAGUCUAAGAAUUUCUGUCAAAAUUGGAAAUCUUCAUAAUAACCAGCAAUGACAAUUUAACACAUUUUAAACAUGAGUUAAUAUGCCAAUGAUUUUCAUUGUAAGCCAGAGCAUUACGUAAAUUAGUUGCAAAAACUUAAGGAAAUAUAUGAAUAACUAUUAAUAUUGAUGAAUUUAUAAUUGCUUUUAUAUUUAUGUAACACUCCUUUGAAUUCAAUAAUACUGAGAUUAACACAAGAGUUAAUGAAUUACUUAGACAGUUUUGAAACUGGUAGACUUUGCUUCAAAGUCAGAUCAUUUCUCCUAAAAUUAAGGAAACAUGUUUGACAAUAUGGAUGCAAAUAUUUAAAAAAUGGUUUUUGAAACUUGACUCAGUUACUGAAAAACUUUUAAGUAUGUUUGGAAUAACUUGGGCAUGUGAAUCUAUACUUUCAACUACCAAUUGUAGAAUACAUAAAUACAGACUGAAUAUUUCUGGUGCAAAUUUAGCAUUUGAAUCAAAAAGUACUCUAAGUUUGAAAAUACACAUAGAUUUAGAAGAUUUCACAUAUGCAUGUGAAAUACAUAAUUUUUAUAUUGAUUACAUGUUGAAUUGAUAAUAUUUGGGAGAUAUUUGGUUAAAUAAAUCUAUUAAAAUUAA